rnacentral:sRNA from 1 species
AUGUACCACUUGGACACUCCGGUUCCCGCACGCGGCACGUACCCACCUGACGAACGCUCGCGAGGUUUCGUGAGUC